GUUCUAGUCGGUGAGCCUGUGAAAACCGACCGAGUUCGUUGUUAUCUCGCAAAACAACAAGUUGGGUUGUGAGCUUGUAAAACAACCAGCUGUAAUCUGUAGGAUUAUAGUGAAAUUUCCAAGAGGUCUUGGGGAGUGGAUGUAGGUGCUGGGGUGCACCGAACCACUAUAUGUUUGUUGUGUUUGUGAUGCUUUUUGUCAUUGUCUAUCUUGUUCACUUACUUACCUAGAUAAAUUGCCUGCUUAACUCUUAUCCGCGCAUCCUUUAGUUGCAAGUAUAUUCAAUUUACUUAAUCAAGUCUCAUUCGAUAAAUCAACCUAUUGCUAAGUUUAAAUUCCACUGUGCAACUAUACAACUUAGCAUAAUUAAUUGAAAAGUGUUAGAAGUAGCUUAAAAGUUUUAAAAGACCCAAUUCACCCCCCCUCUUGGGUUGUAUCUACUGGGCAACACAAGGUUUUGCUAAAUUAAUCACAAGACAUUAUCUCCUAUUUCCAGGAGGGGUCAAUUCCAUCUCGACUCACAACUGACUAUGCAAGUACUUGACUGCACCCAGUGACCUUCCGUCACUGAAUUAGAAAUUCAGGUAGUCCGGUACCAAAGUAUAAUGAGUUGCUUGCUAGUCACAGGUUGCGGUCUCAGGUCAGAGGGCCAAACUUAUACCCAUAUCCACUCGGAACAUCUCUUGACAGUAUAGCGUUCCUUGAUUGGUCACGUUCAGUGAAAUGUACUCCUACACUUCACGUGUGUGGCAUACCAGUGUCUCCACACUCCUUGGUUAAGAGGACAACCAACGUAUAUGUCACACAACGACCUAAUCUCGA
rnacentral:lncRNA from 1 species